UGCAGCACAGAAGAGAGAUGGGCCACCACGGGUCAGAGGAACCAGAGUGGCGGUCUGCCACCUUUUGACAUUUUGUUCCUUCUUGAGCAUUAACAAAACAACUAGUCUACUAUUUACCACACUACAGCGACAGCAAUAACUUGACAUUUCCAUCAUUUUUAAGUCCUAGAAAACAGACUCACAAAGAUGUCUAAGAUUAGAGACGGAACUGGAAUGGAACUUAAUUCUACAUCUAAUAAACUGUCAUUAGGUUACUGGAAGGGUGAAGUAGUGUUUGCUUUUUUAUUUUUAAAACAUGUAUGUGAGGGUCUCACUCUGUCACGCCAACUGCGGUGUAGUGACACAAUCAUAGAUCGUCAUAACCUGGAAUACCUGGGCUCAAACGAUCCUCCCACCUCAGCCGUGCAAGUAGACAGGAACAACACACCCAGUGCCACCAUGCCCAGCUAAUUUUUAAAUUUUAUUUUAUUUUUUGUUGAGAUGGGGUCUCACUAUGUUGCCCUAGCUGGCUGGUCUCAAACUCCUGGGCACAAGUAAUCCUCCCGCCUUGGCCUCCCAAAGUAUUGGGAUUACAGGUGUGAGCCACCGCACUUAUCUGCUUUAUUUUUUGCAAGGCUGCAUAAUUUUUGUAUGUAACUAUUUUUCAGAACAAGUCAUCGAGGUUCUCUAAAUAAAUAAAAUUAUGACGAUUCAUUUGGAAAAAAUAAAUAUUUUAAAAAUCUGUUGUAGAUAGACUAUAAUACAGAUGAAGAGACCAAAAUGAAUUUGUCCCAGAUCAAACUAAACAAGAAGGCACAUGUUUAUCUGGAACUAAGUAUUUGUUCCUGUUGAUGUUUUUGUACACUAGAUCUGAGUGUCUGAUAGACAGGUGGAUGGAUAGAUGGGCGGACGGACAGAUGGGUGGAUGGACAGGCAGGCGGAGGGAUGGAUGAAUGCACAGAUAGGCAGACAGAAAGAUAAUUGGUUAACUACAAGACAUUUUGUUGUUAUAUAUAUUUUGUUGUAUAUAUUUACAUGUAACAAUAAUAGCUCUAUUUCAAAAUUCUUGUGUAAAGGAUAAGAAUUAAAAGGUGGCUGGGCACGGUGGCUCACGUCUAAUCCCAGCACGUUGGGAGGCUGAGGCGGGCGGAUCACCUGAGGUCAGGAGUUCGAGACCAGCCUGGCCAACAUGGUGAAAUCCCGUCUCUACUAAAAAUACAAAAAUUACAGUCGUGGUGGCAGGCACCUGUAAUCCCAGCUACUCAGGAGGCUGAGCAGGAGAAUCGCUUGAACCCGGGAGGCAGAAGUUGCAGUGAGCCAAAAUCGCGCCAUUGCACUCCAGCAUGGGGGACGAGAGUGAGACUCUGUCUCGAAAAAAAAAAAACCCCACAAGUUUUUAGUAUGAAAAACUGUAAACACGAAAUUAGAGGAAGAGUCCAGCACCUGCCAUUUGGCCACUGUCCAGACCUACUGUGUGCUUCUUGGGGAAAAACUUUACAGCUUUGAAUGGCUGAGAGGUUUGGAAAGAAACAGCUCAGUCCCCAUGGCCCGGAUGGAGAGAGGAUCCCUGCAGGCAGGUCCCCAUGCUGCCACCAGAUUGGAGCCACUCCUUGCUUCCUUUAGUCACAGUAC
rnacentral:lncRNA from 1 species